rnacentral:rRNA from 1 species
GACGAACGCUGGCGGCGUGCCUAAUACAUGCAAGUCGAACGAAAGCGACCGGUGCUUGCACUGGUCAAUCUAGUGGCGAACGGGUGAGUAACACGUGGGUAACCUGCCCAUCAGAGGGGGAUAACAUUCGGAAACGGAUGCUAAAACCGCAUAGGUUUUCGAACCGCAUGGUUUGAAGAGGAAAAGAGGUGCAGGCGUCUGCUGUAGGAUGGACCCGCGGUGCAUUUGCUAGUUGGUGAGGUAACGGCUCACCAAGGCCGUGAUGCAUAGCCGACCUGAGAGGGUGAUCGGCCACAUUGGGACUGAGACACGGCCCAAACUCCUACGGGAGGCAGCAGUAGGGAAUCUUCCGCAAUGGACGCAAGUCUGACGGAGCAACGCCGCGUGAGUGAAGAAGGUUUUCGGAUCGUAAAACUCUGUUGUUAGAGAAGAAUAAGUGCUAGAGUAACUGUUAGCGCCUUGACGGUAUCUAACCAGAAAGCCACGGCUAACUACGUG